rnacentral:rRNA from 1 species
AGCCCACUAGCUAGCUCACCCCCUAAAACACAACAUCCCACUAUCUCUAACCCCUAAUAAACCCAAAACCUUUUAAACAAACCAUUUUUCCCCCUUAGUAUCGGGCGACAGAAAAGGACAUAAUGAAGCAACAGCAGUAGUACCGCAAGGGAAUGCUGAAAGAGAAAUGAAACAAAUCAGUAAAGCACAAAAAAGCAGAGAUUCACCCUCGUACCUUUUGCAUCAUGACUUAGCAAGAAAAAAUCAAGCAAAGAGCACUUUAGUCUGACUCCCCGAAACCAAGUGAGCUACUCCAAGACAGCCUAUAAGGGCACACCCGUCUCUGUGGCAAAAGAGUGGGAAGAGCUUUGAGUAGAGGUGACAGACCUACCGAACUUGGUUAUAGCUGGUUGUCCAGGAAAUGAACAGGAGUUCAGCCUUUUGUUAUCUUUUUUCACACACCGGGAACACCCCAAGCUUUUAAGAGAACAAAAGAGUUAGUCAAAGGGGGUACAGCCCCUUUGAAAAAGACACAACUUUCCCAGAAGGGUUAAGAUCAUAACACUUCCAAGGGAAUAUGUUUUAGUUGGCUUAAGAGCAGCCACCCACACAGAAAGCGUUAAAGCUCAGACACUUCCCUCAACCCCCAUUAUUAGGACCACCCAAAUCUUACCCCCCUACACAUACUGGACCUCUCCAUACCUAUAUGGAAGAGAUAAUGCUAAUAUGAGUAAUAAGAGACCCCGCAUCUCUCCUCGCACGAGUGUACAUCGGAACGAACUCUCACCGAACAUUGACGGCCCCCCAAAAGAGGGUAUCGAAACAUCAUGGCCAAGCCACUAGUAAAGCACCCACAGAGCCCAACCGUUAACCUUACACCAGAGUGCCCACAAGGAAAGACUAAAAGAAAGAGAAGGAACUCGGCA